UCCUGGAGGCUGAGAGGGGCCCGCAGGAUGGCCAGUGGCCGUUGGGAAGUGACAAAUAGAGAAAAGCGCGGACUGGAAAUGGGAAAUGGGAAGGCCCUUGGGGGAGCCCACCCAGAAAGAGGAGCCUGCGAGGGUGCUGUGGGUGACCAAGUGACCUGCCUCGAGGGCCGUCCUCUGCAGAGCGCUGAGACCCCUGUGCCUUUGAAUUUGGGGACACAAGAGCUGUGCUCAGAAUGGCUCCAGGUUAUGACAUCACAGAGCCCCCACCCCUGUGACAGGAGUGGAAGGGUCAUGAGGCUGUGGCAGUGGACCAGAGCAUGGGCGUGGCUGGUUGGGCUCGGGGCCAUAGAAACAGGUGGGAAGCUAUCCUGGGAGCAGUGGGGACAAGGAAGUCUUGGGGCACCCAGGCGGGAAAAUGCCAAUGUCUUGGCCCGAGGAGCAGAGUCUCUACUCUUCAUAGAGAGACCUGACUUCUUUGAUUACCCAGACUCAGACCAAGCCAGGAUCCUGGCCGUGGCCCAGUUUAUUGGGGAGAAACCUGUCAUCUUUGUUAACUCAGGAUCCAACUCUGAGUUCUUCCAUCACAUCCUGGUGGGCGCUCUGGUGGUGGCCUUCCUCUUCCUCCUGUACCAGUUCUUCAUACACAUGUGAGACUGUAUACCUUGCAUUAUAGAUGAGGAAAUUGAGGCCAAGAGACAUGCAACCGCAACUCCCAGGUACCACGGCUGGCUGGGCAUAUCCAGUCCAGGCCAGGCUGACCCCAGGCCCUCCCGCUGUUUGGGGCAGGGGUGCUUGGGCAGGGGUAGGGGUGGGGAGCCUUCUGUGGGAACUUUCCAUCCUGGGCCUGCCCUGCUACUGGGACCUGGCCGCAGGGCUUCCCAGGCUCUGGCAGUGCUGGUGUGAGUAGGACAGGGGGCCCUGGCUUUCAGCACCUCAACUCACCACAGACAGCGGGAAGCAUACGAGCACCAUGACGGCGUGGUGGAGCACCAUGAGGAACUCCUUGUGCAGAUAGCCGCGCGCCACGGCCCAGGUACAGCCAAGCAUUAAGGAGAAAACGCUGAGCAAAAGGAGCCAAGAGCAGAGAAAGUUCUGUGUACUUUGAGAGUAAACAAAAAUGAAAAGUGCAUGAAUAUGCAACAUUGCAUUUUUCUUCUUGACUCAGCAUGUUGAGUACUUUCUCUUAAAUGCUGUAGCCCUGUGGCAGGUCCGAAGUGGGGGUGCGAGGUCAGGGAGGUUGGCCCAGGGAACUGGCCCAGCUACAUGGAUGGAUGAAAGCAAAAUCAGCCAGAGUGACACAGAAAAGUUGCUGAGACCAAAUAUGAGGAGCUGCAGAAGGGAGAAGAGGAAUGAGGGCUGGGGGUAGGUCCGCGAAGGAUCAGGUGAGAUGGAGACAAAAUGCAAACCCUGGGAAGACUGGCCUGCAAGGGAACAGGCAGGGAUGAUUUGGGGCAAAGAGAACCUGAGACCCAUGCUGGAGCGUGUGACCAGGAAAGGGAGAGAGGAGGGGGAGCAGCAGCCCAGGUCUGACACACAGGGCAGGCAAGCAGGGAGAACCCUGAUGGAAAGGGAUCCAACUGGCCCAGGGUAAGCUGGAGCAAGAGUGGCUGGGAGAGCCAGCUGCAGGAUCCGUAUGGUUUGGGGGGGGGGGACCAGGACUGCCCUCCAGGACCCCAUGCUGCAACUUGAAAGUUAAACCCAUCUCCAUGCUCUCAGCAGCUAGGUGCUCUCAGCAGUUAGGUGCUCAGACACAGGAACAGCUGUUGUCCCUGGAUUAACCCUGAUCUUCCCCACCCACCUGAGGAUUACAGGGGAGGGAACA